UUGCACUCCAGCCUGGAGGCUGGAGUGACAGAGCAAGACUCUGUCUCAAAAAAAAAAAAAAAAAAAAAGAGAGAGAGAAAGAUAAUUUGCCUGUGCCUCUGUGCCCCUUAUUGGUAUGGCAAGCCCUCUGUUGGCCAGAGCACUGGUGGUUAGAGCUGUUCCUGAACCCCCUAUUACCUGGGAGAGCCUUGAGGUCCUAGUGGUAAGAUAUUAUUUCUACUUCUAUACUCAUGUCUGAUUCUUUUUUUUUUUUUCAGACAGAUCUUGCUGUGUUGCCCCAGCUGGAAUGCAGUGGCUCUUCUCAGGUAUCCCAGGUAUGAUCACAGUACAUUACAGCCUUGAACUCCUAGGCCCGAGCAGAGUCCUCCUGGCUCAGCCUCCUGAGCAGCUGGGACAACCUCAUGACUGAUUCUUAUCUGUUAAAA
rnacentral:lncRNA from 1 species